rnacentral:piRNA from 1 species
AAUGUGGGCUUUCUUAUUUUAUACUU